UCGGAAUAUGUUGUAAAGGUUAAGCAUAUUUGGUUUGGGACUAAAAGAUGGGAGUUCAAAUCUCUCUAUUCCGAU
rnacentral:tRNA from 1 species